CCGUCUCAGGAGGCUCCGGGCUGCAGGCCGUCUCAGGAGGCUCCGGGCUGCAGGCCGUCUCAGGAGGCUCCGGGCUGCAGGCCGUCUCAGGAGGUUCCGGGCUGCAGGCCGUCUCAGGAGGUUCCGGACUGCAGGCCGUCUCAGGAGGUUCCGGACUGCAGGCCGUCUCAGGAGGCUCCGGACUGGGAACUGUCGCCGGAAGCUCCGGACUGGGAACUGUCGCCGGAAGCUCCGGACUGGGAACUGUCGCCGGAAGCUCCGGACUGGGAACUGUCGCAGGAAGCUCCGGACUAGGAACUGUCGCCGGAAGCUCCGGACUAGGAACUGUCGCUGGAAGCUCCGGACUGGGAAUGCGCACUGGAGGCCUGAUGCGUGGGGCUGGCAUAGGUGGCGCCAGACUAGUAACACGCACCUCAGGGCAAGUGCGGGGAGCAGGAACAGGGAGUACCAGGCUGGAUAGACUCACUGGAGGCCGGGUAUGUGGGGCAGGCACAGGAUAUACUGGACCGUGGAGACACACUGGAGGUCUUGAGCGUAGAGCUGGCACCACCCGUCCUGGCUGGAUGCUUACUUUCGCCCGGAAAACGCUGGGCGCGGGCACAGGACGAACUGGGCUGUGAAUACGCACUUGCGACACAGUGCGCAGCGCCGGCGCAGGAUAUCCUGGACCGAGAAGGCAAACUGGAGACCAGGAUCUCUGAGCUGGCACCACCCUUCCUGGCUGAAUGCUCAACCUAGCUUGGCAAAUGCGGGGCGCGGGCACAGAUCGCACCGGGCUGUGAAUGCGCAUUGGCAACACAGUGCGCAUCACCGCAUAACACGGUACUUGCUUCUUUACUCGCUCCCCAGGGUAAGCACGGGGAGUUGGCUCAGGUCUCCACCCUGACUCUGUGAAACUCCCCGUGUGCCCCCCCCCCCCAAUUUAUUUGGGAGGGGUGCCUCUCGUGCUUCCGUCGUUGCCUUGCUAGUUCCUCGUAAUGUUGCCGUUCCUCCCUCGCUGUCUCCACCUACUUCCAUGGCAGGGUCUUGACCCCUGCCAUUACCUCCUCCCAAUUCCAGGAUGUCCUCCAUUCCUUCCUCUCCCGGACCCAGGAUCC
rnacentral:lncRNA from 1 species